rnacentral:misc_RNA from 1 species
UAUCACAUUUUCAAAUCAUUAGUUUCAAAUUAACAGAAUGAGUACAAAAACUUUGCAAAAAUUUUGCGAAUAAAAUUAUUUUAAUCUUAUAUAUAUUAUAAAUACAUUUUUCUGUUACAUACACAAAACGUAAUACAGUUAAAUUUUUCUUGAGAUAAAAAAUACAUAAACACGUUUCAUCAUCUUUUUCCAUUUUGUACAAAAAAAUCGUAAAAAAAGGUAAUCUACACUGGAAACUUAUAAUCAUUAGGUUUGUUUCGCAUUCCUGCACUGCAUUAGUGCAAUAAAUUAGAAUAUAUUAGUCUUAUUCUAACUUAUUCCAUCAGUGCAGCACACAGUGCAGAAAUAAAAAACAAACCUAUUAUGUAUAAAAGAUGUGGGAAAAGAUUACAUAAUGCAUCGUAGAAAUUGAUUCUUUGAAAAACGUGAUUUUAAUGAUUUUAAUUUCAUAGGAGGCACAGAAAUUGGCUGCAAAAUAAUCGAUAUUCUCUAGCAAUGACGUAAAAGCAACAGAAGCUAUCUCGCCUGCUCUAAGGUUUCGCCUUUGUUUUCGUCCGAUCAAUAUUGAAAAUAGUGCGCUUUAUUCGUCAAGUCUCAUCUCAUAUUUUGGCUGCACAAAUUGCGACACUGAUCAUUAUGAUCAUGCCUUCCUCUGCGGCGUAACGAAGAGCGCCCGUUGCGAGACUCUUGUCAUAUACAUAUAGCGAGGGAUACAUACAGUUGGGAGUCGGGAGCAAGCCAACGUUAUUUCCGAGUCAGUCUACCGCCGUUGUUGGUGGCGGUACGUCGAGUAUUGUAACGUUUUGUCGUUUGCGGUUCUCCUCUGUCACAGUAGCGUGAUCGUCAAUUGGUGAACCGCGGUAGACAAUUUUUAGUUGAAAUCUUGUUUUUCUCGCCCGCAUCGUUUUCCUCCCCGCUGAUACCGAACGACAAUUACACCGCGGAAGAAGGCAAUGGCAGCGUAAUGAUGGCCAGGUGAAGAUAAACUAUUCUCGAGAACUCUUCGGUGUGAGAAAAUCGUCAUGGACCUUACCCCAGAAAACAACGUAAAUGGAACCAGUAACGGCGUCUACGAGAGUGCGAAAGAUACAUUCAACAAUGGCAAUAGCACUAUGUAUAUGGAAUAUGUUUCCCAAAUUGCUAUGGUGGACAUCGAAUUCAACGAUCUGACGUAUUCGACGCCUGAUAAAAAGUCGAAGAUUCUGAGAGGUCUCAGCGGUCAAUUCAAAUCAGGCGAGCUAACAGCGAUUCUGGGUCCUUCUGGUGCCGGAAAAUCGACGCUACUCAAUGUCCUUGCAGGAUACAAAUGCACGGACAUGGGUGGCUCGAUAAGUAUCAAUGGACAAUUACGGGACAUGAAUAAGUUUAAAAAUAUGUCAUGUUACAUCAUGCAAGAAAAUUUCACACAACCGAAUCUCACGGUUUUAGAGACAAUGUCCUUCGCUGCCGACUUGAAAAUUGGCAGAAGAAAAUCGAAAUCCCAGAAACGCGCCAUUAUAGAUGAAAUUCUAAGCACACUUAGAUUAACGGGAACGCUACAUACAAUCACGGACCAACUGUCUGGUGGCGAAAAAAAAAGACUGAUAAUCGCACUCGAGCUUAUAAAUAAUCCACCUGUUAUUUUCCUUGAUGAACCGACUACUGGACUGGACCACGUUGCCUCUAUGCAAUGCAUCAAUGUUCUCAAGAGGCUGGCGCGUUUCGGGCGGACAGUCGUGUGCUCGGUGCAUACGCCCAGCGCAAACGCAUUUCAGAAAUUCGAUCACGUCUACGUUAUAACCAACGGACAAUGCAUUUACAGAGAUUCCGCGAGUAACGUGGUGCCAUUCCUACGAAAUGUAGGCAUAGAAUGUCCAAUACAUUACGAUCCGGCGGAUUUCAUAAUAGAGCUCUCGGCGGGUGAUUAUGGAUUUGAUGUGGUCGAACGGAUGGUCACAUACGUAAACACGAAGCUACCACUUUCAAUUUUUCAAUCAAAGAGUCAAUUUGAUAUCGACAAAGAGAAAGUCGCAUGGAUCGAUCAAUUCAGCACGUUAAUGAAAAGAAUGAUAGUGCAACUUUAUCGAAAUAGAAGUUAUAUAUACCUGAAGAUAUCACUGCAUUUAUUUUUGGGAAUUAUCGUCGGCAAUCUAUAUUUUAAUAUGGGCAAUGACGGCUCCAAGGCCAUCUUCAAUUUUGGCUUUUGCUUCGCAUGUGUGAUAUUUUUUAUGUACAUGCCCCUGAUGCCAGUGUUGCUACAAUUUCCUUUAGAAGUCCAAUUAAUGAAGCGAGAGCAUUUCAACAGAUGGUAUCAUCUUAGCGCGUAUUUUUGGGCCUUUACAGUAGUCAACAUACCUUUACAGAUAAUAUUCGCAGUUUUUUGGCUCUCAAUGGUCUACUUUAUUACGGGGCAACCCUUGGAGUUGCAUAGGAGUGCCAAGUUCUUCGGUACUUGCUUCGUGUGUGCUUUCAUCGCAGAAAGUAUAGGACAUAACAUUGCCAGCGUGUUUAAUGUUAUGAUUUUGGCGACCCGAAUCCUCAGCCGCUCAUCCGAACAAUUCUCAUAUACUCGAGUUACAUUCGAUAUGGACUGGAAUGUCUCUUAAUGGCCAUGUAUGAUUACGAUAGACCGAGACUACCUUGCCCAAAGGAAGAGAUAUAUUGUCAUUUCAGUUCGCCGAAGGAAAUAAUGAAAGCGAUAGGGGCGAAUUCACAGCCGAAUUUUUGGUUGGAUAUAUUUGCGCUUUUCAUUAUUUUAUUUAUUCUGAAGGGACUCUCAUAUUAUCUACUGAGGCAGAAAGUGCAACCAAACAAAGCUUUCCAGACGCUUUACAAAAUCGGA